rnacentral:rRNA from 1 species
AUUGAACGCUGGCGGCAGGCCUAACACAUGCAAGUCGAGCGGAUGAAGGGAGCUUGCUCCUGGAUUCAGCGGCGGACGGGUGAGUAAUGCCUAGGAAUCUGCCUGGUAGUGGGGGAUAACGUCCGGAAACGGGCGCUAAUACCGCAUACGUCCUGAGGGAGAAAGUGGGGGAUCUUCGGACCUCACGCUAUCAGAUGAGCCUAGGUCGGAUUAGCUAAUUGGUGGGGUAAAGGCCUACCAAGGCGACGAUCCGUAACUGGUCUGAGAGGAUGAUCAGUCAAACGGGAGUGAAGCACCGUCCAAGCCCCUGCGGGGAGCACGCGGGGGGGAUUGUUGGAAUAGGGGCGAAAGCUUACACCACCCAUGCCGGGGGGGAAAAGAGGGUCUCGUGUUUUUAAAGCACUUUAGGUUGGGAGGAAGGGAAAUACGUUAAUACCUUCUUUUUUUGAGGUACCACAAAGAAAAACCCCGCACAAACCCCGUC